UACGAAGGGUGCAAGCGUUACUCGGAAUUACUGGGCGUAAAGCGUGCGUAGGUGGUUUGUUAAGUCUGUUGUGAAAGCCCCGGGCUCAACCUGGGAAUGGCAAUGGAUACUGGCAAGCUAGAGUGCGGUAGAGGGUAGUGGAAUUCCCGGUGGUAGCGGUGAAAUGCGUAGAGAUCGGGAGGAACACCAGUGGCGAAGGCGGCUACCUGGACCAGCACUGACACUGAGGCACGGAAAGCGUGGGGAGCAAACAGG
rnacentral:rRNA from 1 species